rnacentral:lncRNA from 1 species
CAUAUGGUACUUAAUGUCACCAAAAGAAGUGAGUGAAAUAUGAUCUGGACCAAAAUAGUGUCAAACGCGACCAAUAUAGAGCCUCACAUGCAGUCAUGAUACACUCCAAACAGUGAAGAAUACGACCAAUUAACAGACCUACAAACUAAGCAAAAAAUAGUAAAACAUACAAGCUAAAGCUAUAGCAAUAAACAAGCAUUAAAUUAUCUAAAAACUGAACCACAAAGUUGUUCAUUACAGUAGGGAUUCCAUUUUGUAAUCCCAAAAAGUUGCAACAAAAUACAAGUUCAACAAUUUUCACAAAAUGAUAGAGCAUCCAUUAUCACCAUCAAAUAUUGAACAUUCCCUUGUCUUAAUACAAAACAUGGCAAUAUCAAAUUUUCAUUGUUGUGCCUUGCCAUUACCCUUUUUUGUCUUAAGUUGAUCCACUCUAAACCCCAACUGCUUUCAAGCUGAACAGGUGCGCUUUCAACCGGUUUAGUCCAAUCUUGCUCUGUCUGAAGCUUGUCCAUUCUGUCGAAGAUCCCAGGGCCUCGAAGCGUCAUCUCUGCAAGAAGAUGUCUGAAAAAUCUUGUUCGAGGAUUAGAUGGAGUAUUCAAAAUGAGACUUUUGACUAUUAAUUCACCNNNNN